UUUUUUGAAAUUUUUCCUAAAAUGUAUCAAGUUAGUACUCUGUAGUUUAGCACUUUCUCACUUUAGUACCCUGUGGUUUAAAGUAUAUCAAGUUAGUACCAUAUGGUUUUCCACUUUCUCACUUUAGUAAUCUGUGGUUUAAUAUUUUAUUAAGAAAAAAUAAAACCACAGGGUAUUAACUUGAUACUUUCAAAAAUAAAAUCACAUGGUACUAACUUGAUACAAAAAUAAAAUUACACAGUCCUAACUUGAUACACCUUAAACUAUAGGGUACUAACGUGAGAAAGUGCAAAACCAUAUGGUACUAACUUAAUACACUUUAAAUCAUAUAGUACUAAAAUGAAAAAGUACAAAACCACAGAGAGGAUUUUUAAAGUUUUUUUUUUUUUUUUCUUACAUGGGUGGU
rnacentral:lncRNA from 1 species